rnacentral:misc_RNA from 1 species
CAACCCUCAAGCUCUGCUUGGUAUUGGGCCUCACCCGUCAGGGCGUGCCUUGAAAUCAGUGGCGGUGCCAUCUGGCUCUAAGCGUAGUAAUUUUUCUCGCUAUAGGGUCCUAUGGAUGCUUGCCAGCAACCCCAAUUUUUCUAU